UACGGAGGAUGCGAGCGUUAUCCGGAUUUAUUGGGUUUAAAGGGUGCGCAGGCGGGAGAUUAAGUCGGCGGUGAAAUUUUGCAGCUCAACUGUAAAAGUGCCUUCGAAACUGGUUUCCUUGAGUGUGGAUGAAGUAGGCGGAAUUUGUGGUGUAGCGGUGAAAUGCAUAGAUAUCACGAGGAACUCCGAUUGCGAAGGCAGCUUACUAAAAUACAACUGACGCUUAGGCACGAAGGCGUGGGGAUCAAACAGGAUUAGAUACCCGUGUAGU
rnacentral:rRNA from 1 species